rnacentral:rRNA from 1 species
GACGAACGCUGGCGGCGUGCCUAAUACAUGCAAGUCGAACGAAGCUGUUUUAACUGGUGCUUGCACCGACUUAAACAACUGAGUGGCGAACGGGUGAGUAACACGUGGGUAACCUGCCCCAAAGCGGGGGAUAACAUUUGGAAACAGAUGCUAAUACCGCAUAACCACAGAAACCACAUGGUUUCUGUGUCAAAGAUGGUUUCGGCUAUCACUGUGGGAUGGACCCGCGGCGUAUUAGCUAGUUGGUAAGGUAAUGGCUUACCAAGGCAAUGAUACGUAGCCGAACUGGGAGGUUGAUCGGCCACAUUGGGACUGAGACACGGCCCAAACUCCUACGGGAGGCAGCAGUAGGGAAUCUUCCACAAUGGACGAAAGUCUGAUGGAGCAACGCCGCGUGAGUGAAGAAGGUUUUCGGAUCGUAAAACUCUGUUGUCAGAGAAGAACGUGUGCGAGAGUAACUGCUCGUGCAGUGACGGUAUCUGGCCAGAAAGCCACGGCUAACUACGUGCCAGCCGCCGCAGUAA